UUAAAACACACAUCCUCGUACGAUCAACGAAGUUAAGCAACGUCAAGCCUGCUCAGUACCUACAUGGGUGACCGUUUAGGAAUACCAGGUGCUGUAAG